rnacentral:lncRNA from 1 species
AAAUUUCCAAUAUCUUAGCUCUAUUGAUUAUAAUUUAGAUACCAAGUUUUUUUUCUACUCUCCAUACAAAUGAUCCAUCAAUAAUUGAACUCUUUUCCUCAUAAUAUUUAAAAAAAAAUAAAUGUAAUUUUCAUUUGCAAAUUUUGAAUGUAGGAUACCAAUAAAGAGGUUAUUUUUUUAUUUUAAAAUUUGUUUGAUGUGAUAUGCAUAUUAGAUAGGCAUAUUAUAUAUGUAUUAGUACUUCAGCGAUUAUAAUUUGAGAGUUUGAGUCAUCCACAAUCAUCAGAUAUGAAUAUACAAUCUAGUGCCAAAUGUUAAAAUGAAAAAGGGUAAUAAUGUUGGCCAUCUAGUCAUCUUUUCAAUGUUUUUACCAUUCUUAUAUGAAGGAAAAACCAGAACUGCAUCAGAUAUUACUGAUUUGUAAGGGGGUGUUCCCUGAAGUUUGCUAUGGGUUUUGAGAGGGGUUGGGAACACAUGAAAAUAAUGACAUAACCUUUUGAAAGUUAGGUUUACCGUUAUUGAGGUUCUGCUUCUUGACUCUCUUUUAAAACAAACAGUAGAACAGCCUGAACCCUUUUAUUUUGCAUUUGAUCAUUGCUAUUGAAAACAAAUGGGAGCAGCUGAUACAGGUUGAAAUCAGAAUAUCUCUGGUGAUUUUUUCCUAGAUGACAAGUUGUGUUAUGGGUCUAGUAAUAAAUAUUUAGGCCUUAUAUUUAGUGAUGUAAUUAGAAUUUUCAUCAACCAUAGCACAUAUCAUUUAUAAAGUAUAAAUGGCCAGUACUCUAUACAAAUUUAUGUUUUUUGUUUGUUUGUAAAGAUGAACAUGUAUAUUGAAAGGAGUUUAGAUAAAUGUAAAUAUGUGCAGCAGCUGUCGUUUAUAUCAAGUAGGAAUCUGUGGGACAUAUUGUAUUUCCGGUGUUAGCAUGUUAUACACUAGCUCAAGAAUGCCUCGAGUGAUUUACUUCAUACCAAAUUAUUAAGAAUAGUGGUUUAAGGGUCUGCAUACUUUUAAACAAUUUUAACUUACACUUUUUCUGAGUUAUGGGACUUUAUUCAUGUUUUUACAUGUCACACCUUUUUUUUGUUUGUCAAAAAGUGUAUAUGAUCGCUCUCAUUGUUGUGUGAAUAUGUGCAUAAGGUGAACUUGGAGAAGCAGUUUAUCAAGAAUUGAAAUCAUCUUGUUUUGUCUUCAUAUUCUGUAGAUGUUUCUGUUAUUUUUGAACAAUCAUAGGAGAUACAACAUAUCUAGUUUAAGGUCUUGCUCAGAUGUACUUUAUUUGCUCAAGACAAGAUAAUCUCUAGAAGAUUUCAUAGCAUAAAUUUUUUUCAAUCAUUAGAGACGAACAUAAGCAUUUGGUUACAAACCUUCCACAUUACUCAAAUAAGUUAUUAUGUCACUCUUUAUGUUAUGAUGUCAUAUUGAUAGUGUCAUCAUAGUUGACAUUUCAACUUUUUGUAUGAAAUUGUUUUCAAUAUUUCAUAUUAUGAUGAAAGGGAAAUAUACAAUUACCCGUAAAAAAAUGAGUAGCUGUAAGAAUGAUAACCUUACUUCUGGUUAGAUUUUCCUUAGGAACUGUAAAUUCAGAAAUUAUUGCGAGUUUUUAUUAUUGCGAUUUUGUCAUUUUAGACUUAAAUGCGAUUUUAAAUUUUAGGAUUUUGAGAAAAAUCCUGUUUAAUUGAUAUAAAACAAUUCAAAAUGUAAGUUUACAGUAGUAUUAUUAUCAAUUGUAUUGGCUUUUAUGCAAACAUUGAGAAAACCAUCAUAUUAAAUAUAAUUUUCAUUUUGAAUUUAAUAAAUUUGUUCUCAUCCUACGAAAUUGGUUCCCACAAAAAUAAAUGAUUCCAUGCAAGAUAAAAGUUUGUUAGCAAUAUUUCACCAUUUCACAAUGCAAUAAUAAAAUGCAUGUAGUCAUUAAAAAAUAAGAUAAGGUCAUUUAAAGUGAUCAAGGUCAUUUAAAGUGAUCAAAUCUUUAUUGUUUUGAUCACAUUUCACUAAGUUAACUUGAUAAUUUUUGUAACACCGCCAGUUUCAAAAGAUAGAACAGGUUUAAAUGACAAAACUGAUGGUU